AGAGAAGGGGAUAAGGAAGAAAAAAAAAAAAAAGAAGAGCGUUUUGCUAAGUCAGUGAUAACCAUUUUCUGAAGCAAACCUUUCAAUUUCUUUCAGGAAAAAUAGAGGGUUGAGUGGAGAAGUGUUUCGGGAAAUACCGGAGCUUUCGGUGUUGAAGGAGAUGGUGAAAACAGGGAAAAAUUUGAGGUGAGUCUGCUGUUCGGAAAGAUUGAGCAAAUUUCAGUGUUUUGAAGAUUUCGAGCUGUAGAAAACGAUUUAGGAUCUGAAAUUUGGAGGAAAACAAAAGAUGAUCAGAUCUUCGGACAAACCUGAGCAAGCUGCAGUGUUUUGAGAAUACCAGGCUGUAGAAAAGGAAUCAGAAGCUUAAAUUUGAGGCAUUAAUUUAAGACGGUUUCCAAAAUUUUUUAUGAAGUAUUUUUUGCUAAUUUUAGUUGGAAGUUGAUGAAUUCAUAGGAAAUUCGAAGCUACUCAGGAAUUCGGUCAAAACAGAGCAGUGGAGUGUUUUGUCGAUUCCGCGAGUUUUAGAGCAAAUCGGACACCCAAAUUUUGAGGUUAGUUGAUUCUAAUUAUAGGUAAAAGGUAUAUAAACGUUAAUGAAAGUUUUUUUUUUUUUUUUGGCUGGAAUUUGAUGAAUUUAAGUCUGAAAGUGCUGCUGGAAAACAGAGCCGAAAUUGAAGUGGGAGGUUGAAGAUGAAGUCUGACUGUCAUUUAUUGUCCGUCAUCAAAUUAGACUUUCAGGUUGACUUUGUAAUUUUAGGAUAAUUAAGGUGUUUUUAAGUAUGAUUUGAGGUCUCGAGAUUUAUUUUCUAGGGGUUGGAACAAUUUAAACGGUAAAAGUAUAACCCAAAUUUUGUAUUUGAGUCUCAGGCCGAAUGAGUGUAGGCAAAGCUUAUAAGUCUGAGGAUUUGUGAGUGACAAAUGUUUUAGAAAACUAAAUGCUUUCCAUUAGAUUUUAUGUUGUGUUAUCAAAUGGUUUAGCUUUGUGAGUGACAAAACGUUUUAGAAAAUUAAAUGCUCUCAGUUGGAUUUGAUGACUUGUUUUUAAAUGGUUUAUCCUGCUUGACUAUGACAAUGUAAUUGAAUUUUUUGAAUAUAAUUUCUAUGUUUUUCUUACAACCACGCUAUUAUGAGAUUUUAUGAAAGUUGAAAUUCUAUUUUUGUGGUUUGAUGACAAUGACCUUUCGAGUUUUUAUUAUGAUGACUUGAGUAUGGAAAAUGAUGUUUAAAACCAUGCUUUGUAAAAAGAUAUGAACCUUGUACCCUGGAUUGUUGCAAUGAAGAUAUUGAUACCGAAGGAUUAGGACAGAAGGUAUCUGGAAAGGUCUUUGGGACCCACCGUAGUAUACAUAAAGGCUUUGGGCCGUGUGCUGGGAUGCUUUGCCUUUUGGGGAUGUUCGUUGUUACCGAAGGAGACGAAAACAUAUAGGGUUGUUCUUCACCAUAAUGCUAAAGGAGAUGGAAGUAACCAGGGAAGACCUCUACGUGCACGUAUGAUUAUUAACGACGCUGUUGGUGAUGUAGAAUUCUAUCUCAAUUAAGGUUUCGACAUUGGGAGUGUGAGCAUGAGGGGCUCCACCCAACUAAGAUUAAAAAGGGUACAAGAUUUUCGAUAUGUUUGUUCAUAAAGCGUUUUCAAAGCUAUUAUGAUAUGUUUGAUAUUUUUAUUAUGAAUUUAGUGAAAAACAUGUUUAAACCCUGAAACUAUGUAAAUGUUUUUAGUUGCUAUUCAUUUUAUGCAUCUUUAAGUAUAUGUGUUUAUAAAUGCUUACUUUAAAUAGUCAUUCACUGGACAUUCUAACUCAUGUUUUCAAUGGUUUUCUUUUUCCUAGGUAGUUGAAGAGUUUCAGGUGCUUAGCUUACACACGAUCAGGUUGCCACUGCUUCAAAAGACUUAAGCUCCACCCUAGUGCAUGUUUGUUUAAAGUUGAACUUAAUGAAUUUCUAUUUAGAGAUAGAUGGAAAUGUAGGUUUACAGAUUGACAGUGAUGUCAUAAGAGGGUUGAUGUCACAAGAAGGUUGAUGUCUGCUGUCCUCACGCCUCUUCUUAGGUAAAGAGAGUAACGGGGUGUAACAAUAUGCCACAUCAGUAUGAAAAUAAUAAUAAAUUCAUGAAC